rnacentral:miRNA from 1 species
ACAGGUGAGGUCCUUGGGAACA